GGGGAGAGCAAUGUGGGAGGUGACAAGGCCCAUGGAGGGAGAGAGCCAGGGCACCCCCACCCUGCCUUCUUCCCUCUCCAGGCCAGUUCCUUGGGACCAGUGUUGCAAUCCCAGUGCAUUCUAGAGCAUGUGCCAGGCCAACCUUCCCUGAGGUCCCACGGGGUCAUCCCUAGAAAGUACCAACCCAUCUCCAGCCUCUCUUCCACACUGGGCAAAGUCCGAGCACAGCCGCCUCCCACCCGAGAACUUUGGCCCCAGCGGAGAGCAGCUCAGACAGAGGACGACGAGGGAAGGUGUACAGCACCGCAGAGACCUCUGGGACCUGAGCCUGAGGGAGACAGAGUGGCCUCUCCAGCUCCCACCCUGUGACCUGGGACAGCGACCUGACAAGUAGAAACCUCGCUGUCUUAAAUCAUCCACUCCGAAACCCUGCUGCUGGACAUCAUGUCCCUAAGCAUGGACGGUCCCACUCUUGCCUGGAGGAUCUGUCACCUCCACAGGACAGAAGGAAGUGGCCUCACUUUCUAAACCAGGUACCAAGCUUCAGAUAAACUUUCUGCAUGUGUCUUCAUCUACUUUCAGGUGCACGAAAUGCGAACUUGGGUCUGAUACCAGUCAAGAUCUGAGGUCGAGCUCUGCACUUCCUCCACCCCAGCUCCUAGAGGUCCUGGGCCCUCAGCCCCCGCCCCAGAAAGGACUCCUCCCUAAUCCUGCAGGGCUGUCGUCCCUAAAUCACAACCACCCCACCAGCCCCGUGCCUCUCCCAAUACAGCCUCUUCCUCUAUGCUUCCCACUUCACAUCUCCCAGCCCAGAGCCCUUCUCAUCAAUUACCUCCCCUACCCCAUGAGGGCCUUGUGCUCGCUCCAGAGGAGCCCCAUCCUCCUAGGCGCCUCACAGCGGAACCCGAGGGCCAGGGGAGCUGUGCCAAGCCGGAAGGGCUGCGCCCCAGUGGUCCUCCCGGAAGUGCGCCUCCCCCAAGGUUCCUCACCCCUCAGGUGCUGGGCCACGAACCCACCUGCCCCAGUGCGACUGCGGCCAUGAUCUGUGCGGCGAUCAACUGUGCCCGCCAGGGGUGCUGCCAGAAGAAAGACGUUCCGGCCACGCCCCACUCACGCCCCCUCCCGCAGGAUGACUGUGGAGGGGUGGUUCAGCCAGGCCUCCAGUUAUCGGAGCUGGGCCUUGCUCCCGAGCAGAUGCACAGGAAUAGGAAGAAACUGAAAAACACACCCCUUCCAAGCCCCCGCCCUCCUCGGUCCCAGCCACACUCACGCCCCGCAAGAGCCUUCUUGUAGUGUUUACUUAAUGCGCUUUUAAGGAUGUCGUCAAGUGCUGGCCAGGAUAAGUAGCCCCGGGGAAAGCAGCGCAAAGGCAAGGAGCAGAAAGCUCCGUUUAUCACUCUUUUUGUGAAAAGGAAGAGCUCGCAAUGACUGUCAGUGAACGCACAAAGAAAUGGGACCUUGGGAAGUGGCCUGUUAUGAGGGGAGCUUGGCGGAGCUUGGCUCUGCAAUCUGGAUGCAUCCCUGUGUGAAUAUGUAGUUUUUCUUACCAACGAGAAGAUAAACUAUGUGUGUUCUUUGUCCCUGAGAUAAAAGCACCCAGGGUUCCCUCCUUCUAGUCCCAUUCAUCAGUGAAGCCCCCCAAAUUUCCUCUCUCUGCCCCACUCAUCAUGAGCCUGAGAUAACAGCCCCGUGCAGGGGGCCCUGGUGACCGCCUUCAUGAGCAUCUCCCCGACUUCAGGGCCCCUGGCCAAUCACACCCUUCAGGGUCCCUCUGACCUGGCCAUUCAGACCUGUGGCAAUGAGUGACCCUUAGAUCAUGCUGCUCGAUCACGCACUGUCUCCAAACUCCUGGAUCCAGGUCACUGUGACACUAAAACCUCAUCUCUGCUGUAUUCCCAACACCUGGGGACUUUCUUCCCAAAUUCUACCCCAUUCCCCUCAUGUCCACAAAUCCUGUUCCAGAAUCGCUGUCCUCCACCUCAAAAGGCCACAGGAUAGGGCAGGGGACUUAGCUCAGUGGUUCCACCGCCUGCCUCGUAAGCGCAAAGACCCAAGUUCGAUUUCCGGUACCCUCCCCCAAAAAAGGCCACGGGCCGGAGUGGCCAAAUCACGCACCCUCCACCCCGCGGAUGUUGCUCUUUUUCUUCUCCGCGCCCGAGUCCCCCACACCCCGCCUCCUAGUCCGGGAUGGAAGGGGCGUUGCCCACCGGCCGGCCCGCCCCCGCCUCGGCCAAUCAGCGCUUGCCGCACACCCCCGACCGCGACCAACCCGCAGCAGCCUGCAGUCCCGCCCCCUCACUACGCUGCGUCUGGGCCCGGUGCCCACCCGGGGGCCGCACCCCCGUCUCCCUCUGACCCCUAUGUCUCAACCUUCCCACGGGGCGGCCACCUUCUUACUGCACAGGCCAGAAGCUCCUUUCCCCUUAGGGCCAAGAAUAAAGAGACUUUUUUUUUUUG